rnacentral:rRNA from 1 species
CCCUUAGAUGUUCUGGGCCGCACGCGCGCUACACUGAUGCAUUCAACAAGCCUAGCCUUGACCGAGAGGUCCGGGUAAUCUUUGAAACUGCAUCGUGAUGGGGCUAGAUUAUUGCAAUUAUUAAUCUUCAACGAGGAAUGCCUAGUAAGCGUGAUUCAUCAAAUCGCGUUGAUUACGUCCCUGCCCUUUGUACACACCGCCCGUCGCUCCUACCGAUUGAAGUUUUCGGUGAGUUGACAGGAGGAUUUUUUGAAACUGGUUCGCCAGUGGAUUUUAGAUCCAAAUGCCAACGAAUCGAUGGCUUUAGAGGAAGGAGAAGUCGUAACA